rnacentral:rRNA from 1 species
UACGGAGGGUGCAAGCGUUAUCCGGAUUCACUGGGUUUAAAGGGUGCGUAGGUGGGCAGGUAAGUCAGUGGUGAAAUCUCCGGGCUUAACUCGGAAACUGCCGUUGAUACUAUCUGUCUUGAAUAUCGUGGAGGUUAGCGGAAUAUGUCAUGUAGCGGUGAAAUGCUUAGAUAUGACAUAGAACACCCGUUGCGAAGGCAGCUAACUACACGAUCAUUGACACUGAGGCACGAAAGCGUGGGGAGCAAACAGG